rfam:Edhazardia aedis TSNM 41457 supercont1.39, whole genome shotgun sequence.
GGUUCCUUAGCUUAGUGGUAAAGCACUUGUCUAGUAAACAAGAGACCGUGGGUUCAAUUCCCACAGGGACCU